rnacentral:rRNA from 1 species
ACGGGUGAGUAACGCGUGAGUAACCUGCCUUUCANAGGGGGAUAACGUUACUGAAAAGAAACGCUAAUACCGCAUAACAUCAAUUUAUCGCAUGAUAGGUUGAUCAAAGGAGCAAUCCGCUGGAAGAUGGACUCGCGUCCGAUUAGCCAGUUGGCGGGGUAACGGCCCACCAAAGCGACGAUCGGUAGCCGGACUGAGAGGUUGAACGGCCACAUUGGGACUGAGACACGGCCCAGACUCCUACGGGAGGCAGCAUG